AUGAGGGCGACCGAGUGUGGGAAGGAAGCGUGGAGCGCAAAUCGCGAGCCGAUGAACAAGAACCGUAUAGAAGGCACUGCCGAGCAGGGCGAGCGGGCCAUAAACCGCGGAGCUCUCGUGACCACGGCGAGGUGGCGCAGAUGCGGCGGUUGUGCGAUGAAGGAGUGCGUUC
rnacentral:ncRNA from 1 species